CGCCGCGGCGCGGGAUGCGCUGCGGGCGCCGCUUCUUUCUGGGAGGAACCUCACGUGCCCGGGCCGUUUCCUUCCUUUCUGCUCGGCGCACAGAGCAGGUGUCUGUGCUGCAGCCGGGCCGGGAGGAGCCGCCGCUGCGCCUGUGUACGUCGUACGGCCGUUAAGGUCGGAAAAGACCACGAAGAUCAUCUGGUCCAGCCGUCAGCGCACCGCCGUGUCCCUCAGUGCCACAUCUCUGCGGUUCUCGAACACCUUCAGGGACCCCAUUGCCUCCCUGGGCAGCCGUGCCAGCGCCUCACCGCUCUUUGUGAGAAGAAAUUCUUCUGAAUAGCCAGUCUGCACCUCCGGAGCGACAUAAAGCCGUUACCUCUUGUCCCGUGGCUGUUACCUGAGAGCAGAGGCUGCUUUCAGUGUUCUGCUCCCUAUACGACUCAUGCCCUAGACCCUUCAGCUGAUCUGUUGCCCUUCUCUAGUCAUGCUGCAGGGCCUCAAUGCCUUUCUUGCAGUGAGGGCCCCACGCUGAACACAGCACUCGAGGUGCGGCCUCGCCAGUGCCAGGACAGAGGCACAGUCACCUCCUGCUGGUUGCCCCGUUUCUGAUAUAAGCCAGGGUGCCAUUGGCCGCCUUGGUCACCUGGCACACUGCAGCCUCAUGUUCAGCCACCUGGCAGCUAACACCGCCAGAUCCUUCUUCCAGCAUUGUGUUGUAGCACUGAGAGCCUUUGCUCACUGCAGACCCAACCCAGGCAACAGUGCAUCCAUAGCUUCCAGCCCUGUAAUACUGAGCAGUACAAUGGGUUCACUGAGGUAAAUUCUGCUCCUCUAUGCCAUAUGCAUUUGGAGUAACUCCAUUAUAUUCAAGUUUAGCACAGUGCUCACCAGAUGUGUUGCCCUCCGCUUGUGCUGGACCUUGGCCUUGUCCUGAACCUGAGGGUGCCGAAUGAGGGGGGGAACUGCCUAGGAGCAGCCUGUGAGGGCUGAGCACGUGUGGCUGAUGUGCAGAAGCAGAUCCGAGCGUGGCCCACGAGGCCCUGAGCAGUACAUCUCACAUCUCACAGGGGAGAACUUGUGUGGGGAUUCUCGGCAUAAAGUGAAAUAAUGGGAUAAAGUUGAGGAGCUUCGGUCUGUGAAAAGAAGAAAGAAAACGAGUUCUGCUGUCACUGUGGUGGACAGCCACUAUUGCAUGUGGGAUCAGCAAUCAUCCCUCUGAAGGCCAAUUGGCUCUGCCUGUGGCUGCAGAGCAUCACCCCACCUGGGUUCAGACUCUUUUCAUCCAGCUCUCGUACAUUCAUUUGGUGUGAUACAAAUCAUCUUGUUCACUUGUGAACUCUUAAAUGCUUUCAGAUAUGUGUCUGCGUUUGUUUCUGUUAUGCUUUGCUUGUUUGUUUGUUGUUUGGUACUGUUUCCCAGUUGUUUCGGCCUUCCCUUUUAAUGAGUUUGUUGCUACAUUUCAGGAGAGCUGUGACAGUUGUAUGUCAGAUUAUCCCAGGCUCCAUUCUUCCACUUAAUACUUCUGCCAUGUUCGUAAUCCUCCAACUUUCAGUUAAUGUUCAGAACGCACCAAAGUGCCAAGAAGAUCCAAGCAAAUUCAGAUUCAAGUAAAAUUAUCCAAGGCACUGUAUCAAAUGCUUUAAUAGGGCCCAGAUAUAUCAGCUGCGUUUCUGGUUCAGACCUCCGCUUUUUGUGUUCUGAGUUUUCUUAUCCGAGCUGUGUCUGCCUGGGGGUCAGCUGGAACUGCACCCAGCAUGGGAGGCAGCUCUGGGGGAGCUUCCUGCAGCUCGGGCAGAGACACACAGGGGAAAGGGCAAAGUGGGGCAGAAGUGAGAAAUAAAAUAAAGCUGGUAGAGGUGAACGGAGGAUGAAUUUUACAUUUCAUUUUAGAAGAGCAGGUGUUUAGUUGCAGAAAGUUCUUGGGUGGUGGUUACUCCUGUAAACAGAACGCUGUGGCUGGGAGAGGAAAUGAAGCAGGGACCACAGCAGCGGUGCUUUGUGUACGUACCUCCCCGCAGGGCACAGCCACCCCUGGCCUUACCCUCUGCUCCCAGCUGUGCUGUGUGCAUGGGACCAGCACGGUGUGGGCAGCCCGUGCUCUGCCACGGCCAGCAGCAGGGCAGCGAGGGUGGGAAGAUGUCUCCCUGUAGGGUGUGAACGCCUCAGAAUCUGGAAUGAGGAGAACAGAAAUGUGUCUAGACUUUGAAAGAGUCACUGUAUGCCCCGAGGUCCAGAUGUGUUCUGUCCUUCAGUUGCUUCAGUUACAGUUAGCAUUUGUUUUUGGACAGUUGGCCUGGAGGGCCCUUCUUUAAUGGUAAAAAAAAAACAACCCUGAAAUGCAGCUGAGGUGAUUGCAAGUGAACCAGUUCCUCAGCCUUUGGAUGCUGUUCAGAAGUUGUGUUACUGAGCAGAGGUGACAAACAGCCCUUACGAAACACACGUUUUUUCCAUUUAAAAUAACCACCCUGCGGCUGCUAAGGAUUGAUUUUAGCCUGUUAAAUAUUGGGCCGAUGGACCCCGUGCAGCCCUCCAGUCCUGCACGGAUGCUCGACUGGAUGCAGGAGGAGCUGCACGGUGAGACAGGAGCUGGUGGUGAGCCAAGCCCCAGCACUGCACGUUUGUCACAGUGCUGUGCUGGAGCGUCCCUGCAGCACCAAUGUGUUGUGUGCAUAAUGUCUGCUUUGAUGCACAGUCGGUAUAUCCAGUGACACGGAACAUCUCACUUUGUAGGUAGGAAAAACGUUAUUUCUGAUGGACACAUGAGACAGGGAUGGCUGGGCUGCCAGCCUGCUCGUGGUAACAAUGGUAAGAAUCCCUUUUAAAUGUUUUCUAUGCAUUUCAACAAUUCAGUAGGCUAUGUAGGACUGAUGCAAAGGAUGUUGAAGUCAGACAGCUCUUCAGUUAAGUCCUCGUGGUUUAAUAUGCUCUUGUGGUUGACACCAGAAGCUUUUUGCCAGUACUUGUAUAUCACCAGUAUGUAUUUAUAAACGUCUGCUUACUGUAGGACAUUCUGGAGUGCACGGAGCCACGAAGCUUGGAGCUCACACCAUAUCUGUUUAGAAGAGAACUCUCUUCCUUUUCAUCGUUCCACUCAAAUUCAUCUACACAAAUUUUCUCCUCCGGUCCCAUUUCCCAUUGCUGUUGCAGGGCGGUGCGUUACCUUUGUGCCCUAUCAUUGGACUGUAGGGUGCUGCAGCAGCAUCCUCUGCUUUCUUCACGCUAACGUUUUAUUUCAUGUAAUGUAUUUGUGAAUAAUUUAUCAUUAAAGUGGUUUCUUUUUUUG
ensembl:lncRNA